rnacentral:sRNA from 1 species
AAGAUGGAGACCAAAUACGAAGAUAUGUUACCAGUUAUGGCGGAGAAGAUGGAUGUUGAAGAGUUUGUAUCA